rnacentral:tRNA from 1 species
GUGAGCGUAGCUCAGUUGGUUAGAGCGCAGGAUUGUGGCUCCUGAGGCCGAGAGUUCGAGACUCUUCGCUCACC